UACGGAGGGUGCGAGCGUAUCCGGAUUUACUGGGUUUAAAGGGUGUGUAGGCGGACUGUUAAGUCAGUGGUGAAAUCCCGGGGCUCAACCCCGGAACUGCCAUUGAUACUAUCAGUCUUGAAUACUGUGGAGGUGAGCGGAAUGUGUCAUGUAGCGGUGAAAUGCUUAGAGAUGACACAGAACACCGAAUUGCGAAGGCAGCUCACUACGCAGUUAUUGACGCUGAGGCACGAAAGCGUGGGGAUCAAACAGG
rnacentral:rRNA from 1 species